ensembl:lncRNA
GUUGUGGCUCUGAGGCUCUGUGGUGCCCGGGCUUAGCAGCUCCAAGGCACAUGGAAUCUUCCCAGGCCAGGGAUCAAACCUGUGUCUCUUGCACUGGAGGGUGGAUUCUUUAUAUUGAGCCACCCAGGAAGCCCAAUCCUUGAAUUUUUCCAUGACCCCAUUUGAACCCAUAAUUCCUGGGCUGACGUGACAAGGUGACCUCUCAAACAAGUAGUCCCUUGACCUCUAACUUUUAAAAGUGUGAGGCAAAUCUACUUCAAACCUUUGGGCUUGGUGAAGGUGUUUUUUUUUUUUUCCCCCCACAACCUUAAAUUUAGUUCCCAGUUUUGAAACAAUUUUCUCUUGGUCCCCAGUGGAAAGUUAAUAGAGAAUGCUGGCUUAAUGUAGGUGAAAUGUAGGAGUGUCUAUUAUUUUGCGAACUUCAUUUUUUGAAACCAGUGUAUUUCUCUUCGAUGUAGAGGGCGGGUUGAGGGGGGUUAGAUGAGGGAGUGUUUGGUACUGUAAUCAGAAAACAAGGGCUAGACCCCGAGUUCUUUUGUACCAUCCCACAGGGACCCUUCGCCUAAGAAAGCUCGACUUCGAAAUUAUUCUGCUUUAAGUGGAGCCUCAUUUACAAGUAAGAGAGAAAUGAAUUGUCUUCUGGUUUCUUUUUUUAAUGUCAUCAAAUCACAUGGAUUAGCGACAGAGAACGACCCAAUUUCAACUGGUCUAAGCAUUGUCGGCGCUUGUCCUCGUUAAUGUCAGGGUCUGGGCAGGUGUUUGAUCAGGGGACGGUGCCAUGAGUUAGAUUCGCCAAGAAAAGGUCAGAGAUGAAUGCAAAAUUCUAACUCCAAAGGGUGGGAGAUCAGCCCAGGCCGCAUCUUAGAGCAGCCACUAAGCUGCUGUCCGGGUUUCCCAGGGUUCAUUCCUUUGCUUCUCUUGAGAGUCUGCUCCUGCGGUGACCUCUGUCUGCCGGUUCUAAUCCUGCUGGUUUCAUUUUUGCAGGUUGAGAGCCUUAUGAGGGCACCACACGGAGCAGGGUUUCCGUUUGUGGCGACUUUCUCACACAUGGCCGGAUAGCAUCUGGUUUUAGUGUUAUCAGUUCAUGACAGCCAUUUUCCAGCAGGUGGAAGAGAUGCUCCCCCACCAAGGGGAACUUCUUCUUGCUUCCUGUAAAAGGACCUUGAGGGCUGGGAGGCAGGUCUGGGUGUCAUGUGGUAAACUGGGUCACCCCUGACAGGGUGAUGGGGGGUAAUUUAGUG